rnacentral:tRNA from 1 species
GGUUUAAUAAUGUAGUGGCUAUAACGCUCGCCUCACACGCGAGAGGUCCUGGGUUCGAACCCCAGUUGAACCA